GGCUCAGAACGAACGCUGGCGGCGUGUCUUAAGCAUGCAAGUCGUGCGGCAAGGGGUAGCAAUACCCCCUAGAGCGGCGGACUGGUGAGUAACGCGUGGGUGAUCUGCCCUUGGGAUGGGGAUAGCCAUUAGAAAUGGUGGGUAAUACCGAAUACGUUCAUUAGGCUGCGGCCUAGUGAGGAAAAGCGCUUCGGCGCUGCCCGAGGAUGAGCCCGCGUCCCAUUAGCUAGUUGGUGAGGUAAUGGCCCACCAAGGCUAUGAUGGGUAGCCGGCCUGAGAGGGUGUACGGCCACACUGGGACUGAGAUACGGCCCAGACUCCUACGGGAGGCAGCAGCUAAGAAUAUUCCGCAAUGGACGAAAGUCUGACGGAGCGACGCCGCGUGGAUGACGAAGGCCGAAAGGUUGUAAAGUCCUUUUGUUGGGGAAGAAUAACCAUGGGAGGGAAUGCCCGUGGGAUGACAUGAACCGACGAAUAAGCCCCGGCUAACUACGUGCCAGCAGCCGCGGUAACACGUAGGGGGCGAGCGUUGUUCGGAAUUACUGGGCGUAAAGGGCAUGUAGGCGGCUCUAUAAGCCCGGCGUGGAAGCCCAUGGCUCAACCGUGGGAUUGCGCUGGGAACUGCAGGGCUUGAAUCAUGGAGAGGGAGCUAGAAUUCCUGGUGUAGGGGUGAAAUCUGUAGAGAUCAGGAAGAAUACCAGUGGCGAAGGCGAGCUCCUGGCCAAUGAUUGACGAUGAGGUGCGAAAGUGUGGGGAUCAAACAGGAUUAGAUACCCUGGUAGUCCACACUGUAAAUGAUGUGCACUAGGUGCUGGGGCG
rnacentral:rRNA from 1 species